rnacentral:rRNA from 1 species
AGAGUUUGAUCAUGCCUCAGAUUGAACGCUGGCGGUAUGCUUAACACAUGCAAGUCGAACGGUAACAGGAAAAGCUUGCUUUUCGCUGACGAGUGGCGGACGGGUGCGUAAUGCGUAGGAAUCUGCCUAGUAGUGGGGGACAACUCGGAGAAAUUCGAGCUAAUACCGCAUAAGCCCUACGGGGGAAAACGGGGGAUCUUCUGACCUCGUGCUAUUAGAUGAGCCUACGUUAGAUUAGCUUGUUGGUGAGGUAAAAGCUCACCAAGGCGACGAUCUAUAGCUGGUCUGAGAGGAUGAUCAGCCACACUGGGACUGAGACACGGCCCAGACUCCUACGGGAGGCAGCAGUGGGGAAUAUUGGACAAUGGGCGAAAGCCUGAUCCAGCAAUACCGCGUGUGUGAAGAAGGCCUGAGGGUUGUAAAGCACUUUCAAUUGGGAGGAAUACCUAAUGGUUAAUAGCCAUUAGAUUGACA